AAGUCGUAACAAGGUUUCCGUAGGUGAACCUGCGGAAGGAUCAUUAUCGAAUUCAAUCCAGCUCUUUCGGCUGUGCAUUCACUUGCACGCCGGGCGGGUCUGGCUCUCUGAUUUCACACACCUGUGCACCUUCGAGUUGCUCUCUCCCACCCGUGCUGCUCUAGGGCGGCGCGGACUUGUCUCGAAUUUCGGUUCGGGACUCUGAGUAGUUGCGGCGAGCUUGUUCUCGCAGCUCCACUUGGGGAGAGUGCAUCUUGUUUUUUUAUACACCUUAUUGUAUGUUUAUUGAAUGUCUUCGGUUGCCCUGUGAUGGGGUGGCUGUUAAUUAUAAAUACAACUUUCAGCAACGGAUCUCUUGGCUCUC
rnacentral:misc_RNA from 1 species